UUGGGACCUGGGGGCUGGGGGUUGGGAAGUGGGAGGCCCAGGCCCCUAGGCCAAGGGAAGAAUCAGGAUAGAAGACCUGUAUAGAGCCAGGAACAAAGACAAUAAUCGCUGCCCUUCUGGGGCCGGUGUUCUUGUCGGGGAAACAGUUAAAUGACUACUACUCAAAAUCCGCGUGCGGCCUCGGGCCUGCGCAACUAUAGCUGGCUAUCAACACGCCCACCACUAGCCGGCACCGCCCCACCGCCCUGAGACGUCAGUGCGCAGGAGCCUCUGCUGUACGGGCCGCACCUCCCUUCAUCAACUGUCAGCCGCCUUUUGGGAGCGGCAACUCCAGUUCUCCCACAGUACGGCCUCAACAAAAUGGACCCAAAUCUGAGUCCAGGCUCCCAUACCCUUGAAGGGAGACAAGGAAUGCCGCUUCAUCUUCGUUCAUGAAAGCUGGAGCCAGCCUCCAAAUGCACAUUAAAAGUGCUCGCCCAAGAUUUAUCCUCUCACCAUCACAUCAAGGGCCCGAGGCAGCUGGCCCUUCCGGACCCAGGAGUGCACAGCACCCAGUUCCCUCCGCUGGUCCUCCGAGAACCGAGGCUGCUGCUUCUGCAUGGCCCGGAGACGCUCCCGAUCCUGCUU